rnacentral:rRNA from 1 species
AGAGUUUGAUCAUGGCUCAGAAUGAACGUUGGCGGCGUGGAUUAGGCAUGCAAGUCGUACGCACAGCUUCGGCUGUGAGUGGCGCAAGGGCGAGUAAUGCGAAGGUAACCAACCCUGGAGUUGGGCAUAACCGCGGGAAACUGCGGGUAAUUCCCAGCGAUGUCGCGAGAUGGCAUCAUCUUGCGACCAAAGGUGUGAUUCCGCUCUAGGACGGGCCUUCGUGGUAUUAGGUAGUUGGUGAGGUAACGGCUCACCAAGCCGACGAUGCCUACCGGGUGUGAGAGCAUGACCCGGCACACUGGAACUGAGACACUGUCCAGACACCUACGGGUGGCUGCAGUCGAGAAUCUUCGGCAAUGGGCGAAAGCCUGACCGAGCGACGCCGCGUGAGGAAAGAAGGCCUUCGGGUUGUAAACCUCUUUCGUAGAGGAGGAAGGGGCCGUGCAGAGCGGUCUUUGACCUAUUCUAGGAAGAAGCUUGGGCUAAGUUCGUGCCAGCAGCCGCGGUAAGACGAACCAAGCGAACGUUAUUCGGAAUUACUGGGCUUAAAGCGCGUGUAGGCGGAUGACCACGUCAGUCGUUGAAAUCCCCCGGCUCAACCGGGGGAACAGGCGCUGAUACGAGUUGUCUGGAGGUGGGUAGGGGGAGACUGUAUCUUCCGGUGGAGCGGUGAUAUGCGUUGAGAUCAGAAGGACCGCCCGCGGCGAAAGCGAGUCUCUGGACCCAUUCUGACGCUGAGACGCGAAAGCGAGGGGAGCAGACGGUAUUAGAUCCCCCCGGUAGUCCUGUCUGUAAACAUUGGGCACUGGGUAGUGAUCGACUGAUGGUUUCACUGCCGCAGGCAUCCGUGUACUCCCCCGGCUGGAGUAGUUCGGUCUGCAGACUGAACUCAGAUGAAUGACGCGGCUCACAAGGCAUGAUAUGUGCUUUAGUCGGAGACUUAGCGUGCAGUAG